rnacentral:lncRNA from 1 species
CUCUUUUCCUUCCGCUUUGCUUGUCUUUUGGCCCCGGCGACUCACCAUCGUCAGUGCGCAACCGUUCGCUAACUGAAAUGAUGGCGACUGGAACGCCAGAGUCUCAAGCGCGGUUCGGUCAGUCCGUGAAGGGGCUUCUCACGGAGAAGGUGACCACCUGUGGUACUGACGUAAUCGCGCUCACCAAGCAGGUGCUGAAAGGCUCCCGGAGCUCCGAGCUGCUAGGUCAGGCAGCUCGAAACAUGGUACUCCAGGAAGAUGCCAUCUUGCACUCAGAAGAUAGUUUAAGGAAGAUGGCAAUAAUAACAACACAUCUUCAAUACCAGCAAGAAGCUAUUCAGAAGAAUGUUGAACAGUCAUCGGAUCUACAGGACCAGUUGAAUCAUCUGUUGAAAUAGAAUGACAUUGGCUGCACUUCGUGACGCUGAGAUACAGAAGGACGUGCAGACCUACUACGGGCAGGUGCUGAAGAGAUCGGCAGACCUCCAGACCAACGGCUGUGUCACCACAGCCAGGCCGGUCCCCAAGCACAUCCGGGAAGCCUUGCAAAAUGUACACGAAGAAGUAGCCCUAAGAUAUUAUGGCUGUGGUCUGGUGAUCCCUGAGCAUCUAGAAAACUGCUGGAUUUUGGAUCUGGGUAGUGGAAGUGGCAGAGAUUGCUAUGUACUUAGCCAGCUGGUUGGUGAAAAAGGACACGUGACUGGAAUAGACAUGACCAAAGGCCAGGUGGAAGUGGCUGAAAAGUAUCUUGACUAUCACAUGGAAAAAUAUGGCUUCCAGGCAUCUAAUGUGACUUUUAUUCAUGGCUACAUUGAGAAGUUGGGAGAGGCUGGAAUCAAGAAUGAGAGCCAUGAUAUUGUUGUAUCAAACUGUGUUAUUAACCUUGUGCCUGAUAAACAACAAGUGCUUCAGGAGGCAUAUCGGGUGCUGAAGCAUGGUGGGGAGUUAUAUUUCAGUGACGUCUAUACGAGCCUUGAACUGCCAGAAGAAAUCAGGACACACAAAGUUUUAUGGGGUGAGUGUCUGGGUGGUGCUUUAUACUGGAAGGAACUUGCUGUCCUUGCUCAAAAAAUUGGGUUCUGCCCUCCACGUUUGGUCACUGCCAAUCUCAUUACAAUUCAAAACAAGGAACUGGAAAGAGUUAUCGGUGACUGUCGUUUUGUUUCUGCAACAUUUCGCCUCUUCAAACACUCUAAGACAGGACCAACCAAGAGAUGCCAAGUUAUUUACAAUGGAGGAAUUACAGGACAUGAAAAAGAACUAAUGUUUGAUGCCAAUUUUACAUUUAAGGAAGGUGAAAUUGUUGAAGUGGAUGAAGAAACAGCAGCUAUCUUGAAGAAUUCAAGAUUUGCUCAAGAUUUUCUGAUCAGACCAAUUGGAGAGAAGUUGCCAACAUCUGGAGGCUGUUCUGCUUUGGAGUUAAAGGAUAUAAUCACAGAUCCAUUUAAGCUUGCAGAAGAGUCUGACAGUAUGAAGUCCAGAUGUGUCCCUGAUGCUGCUGGAGGCUGCUGUGGCACAAAGAAAAGCUGCUAAAUCUAUAGCCAACCAGGGGACCACAGUAGUGGGCAAGAGUGAUCUGCAUGUUUUUUAACCUGCUUUUCCCCAUAGCACAGACCAUAAGAAACAACAAAUGGGGCCGGGCACAGUGGCUCAUGCCUAUAAUCCCAGCACUUUGGGAGGCCGAGGCAGGCAGAUCACCUGAGGUCAGGAGUUUGAUACCAGCCUGGCCAACAUGGUGAAAUCCUGUCUCUACCAAAAAUACAAAAAAAAUUAGCUGGGCAUGGUGGUGCACACCUAUAGUCUCAGCUACUCGGGAGGCUGAGGCAGGAGAAUUGCUUGAACCCAGGAAGUAGAGGCUGCAGUGAGUAAGCAUCACGCCACUGUACUCCAGCCUGGGCAACAGAGCAAGACUCUGUCUCAAAAGCAAAAAAAAAAAAAAAAAAAGAAAGAAAGAAAAAGAAAACAACAAAUGGCAGAGAGCCACCAUAUUCCAAAUCACUGAAAAAAAUAAAUGAAUUAUUUUUAUUUAUUUAUUUAUUUUUUUGAGAUGGAGUCUCGGUCUGUUGCCCAGGCUGAAGUGCAGUGGCCCCAUCUCAACUCACUGCAAGCUCCACCUCCUGGGUUCACGCCAUUCUCCUGCCUCAGACUCCCAAGUAGCUGGGACUACAGGCACCUACCACCAUGCCCAGCUAAUUUUUUGUAUUUUUAGUAGAGACGGGGUUUCACCAUGUUAGCCAGGAUGGUCUUGAUCUCCUGACCUCGUGAUCCGCCCGCCUCGGCCUCCCAAAGUGCUGGGAUUACAAGCAUGAGCCACUGCGCCCGGCCAUAAAUGAAUUAUUUUUAAGAGGCAUUGAUUAAAGAUUCACAGCAAAUCACUAGUUAAGCAGAUUUUUUUUCUAUUUCCUACUUCAAAGUUCUGGUGCCACAUAGUGGUCAGAAAUGGAACAGAGAAGCUGUCUUAAGCCUUGUUCAAGAAGCAGGAAAGGCAUCAGAAGAAGUAACAGUUGGCAGAGGGUCUCAGGAAAAACAUCUUCCUUCUGAUCUUUUGCAUAGCACCUUUUGGAAUUUUCAUCAUGUUUGCUUAUUAAACAAAGCUCCUACUGCCAUCAUACUAAUCAUGCAAAAAGAUUGCCAAAUCAUGUUUGGUAGGAGGACUUUUGAGGUAGCUUUUGAACAAAUGUUUUUUUCUUUUUUCUUUUUUUUUGCAAUAAAGAAAACAAAUUAAUCAUAAA